CAACCCUCAAGCGCUGUAGUGCUUGGUGUUGGGGCAUCUGCUGCUUAUGGCAGGCCCUGAAAGAUAGUGGCGAGCUCGCCGUGACCCUGAGCGUAGUAGUUUACACCUCGCUUCUGUGGUUCAUAGCGGGUCUUCAGCCGUGAAAACCCCCUAAUUUUCACAA
rnacentral:misc_RNA from 1 species